GAGAAAAAAAUCGUGGUUACUUCAGCUUUGGUUGUAGUGAAAAACCCAACGCCGGCAGCCGGCUCUGGAGUCAGAAUUAAAAUGGCAGACGGAGGAGUGGAGCAGGGCUCUCUCUGCAUUCCCCGUUUCCUGACGGACUGCUCCUCGCUGCUCCCUGUGUGCACAUCAACUCCCUCACACUGCUGCCUCUCCAGCAGCUCCUCUGAUUCCCAGGAGCUGCACCUACCACGGAUCCUCCUCCACACUUCCCGGUGCCGGCAGAGCUCCGCUUCCCCUGCCGGGUGCCGGGGCCGGCCGGAGGCACCGGAGUUAUUCCAGGGAUUUGGGGGGCAGAGGAGAGGAGAGAGAGUGAAGCUGCAAAAGGCUGCUUGCCUGGGGAUGAUGCCUGCUGUGCUGAAAUGCAGAGCUGCCUGUGGACUGUCUUUGUCGGGGAUUAUUGGAUUCUGGGGACUCCAGGAGAGCGGUUAUUAGUUCCCCUGCCUACGCCAAGCGUUUUGAAUCCGUGUGUGUGAUAACACUUAUUAAUGCUGCUCAGAUUAAGAAGAUCCUCUGGCUUUCCAGCACUUUCAGCACCUUAUCUCACACCAUGCACCUGCCCAGCAGCUGAACCACGCUCAGAUCUGUGUCCUGUGGCCAGCAGAGCAGGGGCCAGCAGUAGCCCCGUGGCCACAAGUCCUGCAUUUGUUCACAGCAGCAGCUCUUCUUAAGCUGCCUCGUGCUUCAGGGGAUCUGCCUGCUGAGGAUUUGCAGGACCUGGGCCUAAAAUAUUUUAUUUCAGGAAGUCAAGCAGUGGUUCCUGUCACCGAAACAGUUAAUCAGAAAGCACCAACUCUCUACUGCAACGUGUGUGUGUGUGCACGUGUUUUUGUUUUUUAGAGCCAGCAAGAUUUGCUUUGGCUUUUUUAAAGCAGAAAACACCAAAAAAGUUGGCUGUGGUUUCAGCUGCUAUCGCUGGAGAUUUAUACUGCUGACUAGCAAUCCUAAAAGAGUUAACCUGGUAAGUAUGACUCAGAAGCAGAGAAGGAGAUGCGAGGCUGAGAGCCGGGGAGGAAGCGCAGAAACAGAGGUGAGGAACAGAAUAAUUGCCAAAAAAAGGUGCAGAGUCCAGGAGUGACGUUCCCUCCGGUCUGCCUGGCCCUGGCACCGCUGGCACGGGCUCCCUGGAAAGCUGCAGUUCCGCUCUUAUAACACAAGGAGCAGGCUGGAGAAUUUAGAGCUGCGUCACAGAGCUCAGCGAGAGAGUGAGAGAGCAAGCUCCGUCGAUAGGUCUACCAGCAACAGCCCUGCUGCAGCAAGAGGGGAGAGAGGCAGCAAGAGAGGCAGAGAGGGCUCCAGGAAGAGAAGUGGCACCAACACCACGGACCGGGCUCCUGCCACCAUCCACUGCCAUUUGUACCUCGCACUCGGGCUCGCUCGGCGUAGGAGGCUUCGCCCAUUGACGAUGCCGGAGACCCUGCGCGCUUAAUCCCACGGGGAGGGAGAGUGGGCAGACACCGAAAGGGUUAACGGGAAGGAAAUUUCUGGAAGCUUCUCUUCUGCGGCGCUCCAGAGCGAGCGGAGGGCUGAGGACUGCGCAGACGGUGCACGGGCACGGCUCCUCGGUCCGGUUCGUCUCCCUCACCGACCAGCAAUGAAGAUGGCAGCUCUGCCGGGAAGUGCUGAGGACACAGCCAGCCUUGAGCUUGGUCCUUCUGGCCGAGGAAGUCUCCCGAUUAUGCAGUGGAGUGGUCACCACUUGUACUGUCACACCCCUUGUCCUGCACCUGGCCUUGGGCUGAUUCAUUCCUUCACUGGGAGGAUGAUGCAUCAAGCUCAGAUUCUCAGCAUGUAAAACAGGGAUUAUUUUCUCCAGGGGAGACCAGAGCCCGAUGAACCACAACCUUCACCCUGUGAUGUGAAAAUGGAGGAAAACAUUUAUGAUGCACACUGAGAUCUGUUUUGCUUUCUGUAAAAGCCUUUCUAUACAGAAGGUGUAGGUUGUGAAAAACCAGGUCUGUGGCAUCCAGGCUUGCCUUGCUCCUGCAGACUGAAAGUCUCAGGGUAAAGAGGAAAUUCCCUUUCUCGGGGAAGCCAGGGAUUCCCUUUUUGUCUUUGUCUCCUAUGGAAUGUAUAAAGCAGUGUGAAGUCCAUGAAAGGCUUUGAGUUGUUCCUCUGGAAGAAGCUACAGAACAGCACUGCCACUAAAACAUCUGAACAGGAGGAAAACCACAGAAUAACAUUGUACUUUCCCUACUGCUCUGUACUGGGAACUCCAGACCACUGUGACAAGGCCGAGGACAGGUGACAGCAUUUGCUGGUCUCCACACAGCAAAUGUUUGAGACCAGCACUGCUUCCUUUCCUUCCCUGCGAGGGUGGGGAGGGGCUGGGAUGGAAUUCCCAGGGAAGCUGUGGCUGCCCCAUCCCUGGCAGUGCCCAAGGCCAGGCUGGAGCAGCCUGGGACAGCAGGAGAUGUCCCUGCCCAUGGCAGGGGUGGCCCUGGGUGAGCUUUAAGGUCCCUUCCAACCCAAACCAUCCUGUGCUCCUGCUUUGUGGAUCUCAGCAUCCUGAACUGCUCCUCCCUCCUGCCCAGACACCCUGGGAGCCCUGGAAAGGAGAGCACAGACAGAUGCACCCUUCCCAAAACCUGCACCUUGCCAAGAAGGGCUGACACCUCCUGGGGAGCUUGUGAAGGCAACAGGACAAACUCCAGGUAGCCUGGAGGAGGGGCAGCAGCAUCUUAAUUAUGCUGAAGUGAAACCCGGUUUUAUCAAAACUAUAAAUAAUAAAUGAGCCAUUGGUCUUCA